CCUUCCACGUUCCAGAUAACUGCUCUAAUCACAGACCACCUCAUUUAUCUUGGAGUUGUUCCAGGCUCUAUAAGCAAUUUCAUUCCCAUUACAGCGAUGAUGUGAAUGUCCAUCUGCCGCCUACAAGUCAGAUUUUUUUUCUCUCAUUUUUACUUGGAGGAUUGGAGAAAUAGAAUCAGAGUGGAUGACUCAAUGAGAAUCUAUGUGACAGAUGAGUAAAUUAGACAGAAUAAUUUGUCAGGACAGAGAUUUAUAAAAUAUCACAUCUUCCAGGGAAUGAUAUACAAAUUAUUCUAAGUUAUAGUGGCCUGAGAAAAUAUACUUCAUGAGUUUUCCUCUGAUGUGAUUUGUGGUGUGAUGUGAUUUGAAAAGAAAAUAAAUUGUCAGUCUCUUGAAAGAAAAACA